AGGGAUGUAGUGAAAUGGUAUCACAACGGUCUCCAAAACCGUUUUUCCAGGUCCGAAUCCUGGCAUCCCUG
rnacentral:tRNA from 1 species